rnacentral:lncRNA from 1 species
GCAGGGACAAAUUUGGUCCAUUUUUAACAUGAACUUUCAACAACACACUGAUAAAUCCGAUCUUUACUACUGUACAGGCUGAAGCAUCAGACGCCAUAUCAUCAAGUACUACUAAAACCAACAAAUCAUAAUCUUUAAGAUCAAUGGUGUCUAAACUAAGAACAUCAAAGGGCAUACAACACGAUCAAAUCAUAGUUUAAACAUCAUAUGUCAAACACAGGCAUGCAUCAGCAUGUACCAACAACACCUAGGGUGCAACACAAACAUCACUUAAAUUCGGUUUCUGCUUCCCAGCAUAGUUUCAGUUUCGCAACGACGCUGACACACAUGCAUCACUUCAGUUCCAUCGCAUCCCUGAAAGCAGCAAGUCAAUCAGAACAUUAGACAUACCAGUCAAACAAUUCACAACUACAAGAGUACUUCAAAUACUUUCGCAAGAAAGAAAAGGAACAGGGGGGAAAUAUGGCAUGGAGUCUGUUUCUUAUACUUCAUGAUCUGAAACAGAUGGACUCGCUCUCCUUUGUCAAAAAGUAUAACAAAAUUUAUAUGUGAUGUACUUGAGCCAGAUUUAACUUGAUGCAAACAGAGAAAAGCAAGCUCUAUCAUUAGGUCACAUAGAUAUCUCACAUCAAGUACUAGCACUGAAAACUCACGACUAAAAAUUUAUACGUACAGACCAUAUAUACACUGCAGAGAAAGGUUGACAGAAACUCUUUGCAUAUACACUGCAGAUCAUAUAUAUGUACAGAUCAAAACUAAAAAUUUAUAUGCACAAAACAUAUAUACAACUAAAAAAUUUGAUUUAGUAUGAUUGUUCACUACCAAAGUGUAUCUAUUUCUCUAACAAAAACACUACAAUUACUUUCUUGCUGAUUGCCCAACAGUAUGGUUCAGUUUCUUCCUGUUAUUUGCCCUUUAUUCAAAUUAGUAUGCAGACAAAGCAUUCAUUCACAAGAAAAACAUGUUUGUUCCAAGCUAAUCAGGAACAUGAGCUUAUGUAUAUUCUCAGUUCGGAGAUGAGAAAUUGAUUUCUAGCUAAUCAGGAAUAGGAGCUUAAGAACAAGACCAAGCAAGCAAGAACAUUAUGAACCAGAUCAAAAUACCUCUUCUAGGUAGGCAACUCAUCCAUUUCGCUCCGAAGCCACAUGACCGCACUCUCUUCUUGAAGUUUGAUGAACAUGUAAGAUAAGAAAGAGCUCGCUAUUACAUUAUAACAAAGAGCAUCAUAAAUGUUUGUUCUAAGCUAAUCAGGAAUAAGAACUUAAGUAUAUUCUUAGUUCAGACAUGUGCAUGCAUAUGCUCAGUUAGCAACCACAUAAAUAUACUACAACUAGUCAUCUCAGAUGAGAAAUUGAUUUCCAGCUCUUGUCUGCAUGUAUUUUACUCAUCUUAGCAAAUCACACCAGUAACAGUUAACUUCGACCAGUUUUGAAUUUCAUCAACAUCUAACACAAGACAUUGCCUGCUAUAUUUUUAGCACACAGUGUCAAAAUUAAUCAGACUGAUGAUAUACCAAUGAAACUUAUGUGCAGCAAAAUGAUUCUCUCCUCACAUUUCUGCACUACAUCCAAUUAUCAAUAUCUAAUACAAAAUGGUUGGCUGUAUUUUGUUACUUUGUUAUCAGAUAUGUACUAUAUGCUAAUAAUAAUGGGAUUUUUUUUACUAUGGAGUAUAAAAUCAGUACCGGAAGGUAGAGAUCCUACUUGAGCAUCUACAUGUAUAAUUUUAAGGCACACAUAAAUGACAUCAAAAAAGGGUUGGAGUUGUCUUGAAUAGUAGUCCAGAUCUAGCAGCAACUAACUUCAAAUAGGGGGAGGACGAAUGUGAUUGGGAAGCAGGCAGAGGAACAACAGGGAGGGCCUCUCACAGCGGUGGUACUGGAAAGGGGAGAGGAGCGUGGCUAUCAGGGACGGUGUGCUUGGCGAGCUCGCAGGGGAGGACGAGGCGAACGGCGGAUCGGCGGCGGCCAUAUUGAGAAACCCUAGAUGAAGAUGGAGGGGGGGGGGGUGCCUCGAGGGAGAAGGCCAACUUUCCCUAGGAAGAAGAGGAAGCAGGCAUCCGACGGAGUUAGCAGCGACGGCGGC